rnacentral:rRNA from 1 species
UACGGGGGGGGCAAGCGUUGUUCGGAAUUACUGGGCGUAAAGGGCGCGUAGGCGGCCCGCUUAGUCGGACGUGAAAUCCCUCGGCUCAACCGAGGAACUGCGUCCGAUACUGGCGGGCUCGAAUCCGGGAGAGGGAUGUGGAAUUCCAGGUGUAGCGGUGAAAUGCGUAGAGAUCCGGAAGAACACCAGUGGCGAAGGCGGCCUGCUGGGCAGUUGCUGACGCUGAGGCGCGACAGCGUGGGGAGCAAACAGG